AUACGGAGGAUGCGAGCGUUAUCCGGAUUCAUUGGGUUUAAAGGGUGCGUAGGCGGCUUUUUAAGUCAGUGGUGAAAUCCUGUCGCUUAACGAUAGAAUUGCCAUUGAUACUGAAGAGCUUGAGUACAAUUGAGGUAAGUGGAAUGUGUAGUGUAGCGGUGAAAUGCUUAGAUAUUACACAGAACACCGAUUGCGAAGGCAGCUUACUAAACUGUUACUGACGCUGAUGCACGAAAGCGUGGGGAGC
rnacentral:rRNA from 1 species